rnacentral:rRNA from 1 species
GCGGAAGGAUCAUUACCGAGUUUUCGAGCUCCGGCUCGACUCUCCCACCCUUUGUGAACGUACCUCUGUUGCUUUGGCGGCUCCGGCCGCCAAAGGACCUUCAAACUCCAGUCAGUAAACGCAGACGUCUGAUAAACAAGUUAAUAAACUAAAACUUUCAACAACGGAUCUCUUGGUUCUGGCAUCGAUGAAGAACGCAGCGAAAUGCGAUAAGUAAUGUGAAUUGCAGAAUUCAGUGAAUCAUCGAAUCUUUGAACGCACAUUGCGCCCCUUGGUAUUCCGGGGGGCAUGCCUGUUCGAGCGUCAUUACAACCCUCAAGCUCUGCUUGGAAUUGGGCACCGUCCUCACUGCGGACGCGCCUCAAAGACCUCGGCGGUGGCUGUUCAGCCCUCAAGCGUAGUAGAAUACACCUCGCUUUGGAGCGGUUGGCGUCGCCCGCCGGACGAACCUUCUGAACUUUUCUCAAGGUUGACCUCGGAUCAGGUAGGGAUACCCGCUGAACUUAAGCAU